UCUAAUAUUGUGGUUUUGACUUUUGAGUGAGUGUUUUUAUUUUUUGUGUAUUUAUAUAUGUGAUUUUGUGUGAAAUUUUCUGAGAUAUAUUUUAUCAUUUAUUUUGUGCUUUUAGAGUUAUAAUUUCAUAGCAUAGGUGGUUGGAUAUUGAGUUUCUUAAACGAGACUCAAUUAGAUUGUGCUGUUUUGUAUUGCAAUUAACAAGAGAAGGGUAAACUGAGUCGAGAUACUUGCACCAUCGAUGUCAUUCAGUUUAUCUAACUGUGGCCAUGGUUGAUUUAGUUGUUUUACACAAGAAGAAAUAGGAUUUUAAUUUCAGUCAAGUUUUGAAGUAGCAGUGUAGUUAAUUAAUUGGUUAAAGGAUCCGUUGUUCUAUUCUGUGUUGCUUUGUAGGUUUUAUUGGAGAUCAGAUGCUACUUUGACUUCUUCUUCUUCUUUUUUUGUAUUAGUAUUUUGCUGGGGUUUUUUUUUUUUUUUUUUUUUUAACCAAAUAUUGUGUAGUAUUUGAGUACUGAUAAGUUCUUAACCACGCAAAACAAUGAAAUCUAUGCACAUUGUGCUCUUUUCUGUUUUGCCAAGAAGGUUAUUGCUUCGUGUUCGUUGAAUUGCAGUUGUUUAAGAAUUUUGCUUUGUCUCUUGAAAUUAAUGGGUAUAAAUCGUGAAUGCAUUUGUGCUGGUUGCCAAGGCACUUGCUAUGGCACUUGCUCAGCACCUGGUUGUGAAUGCCAGCUGCAAAGACGGAAAGAGCUUUUACUACAGCAGUAGCAUAAACAUCGCCGUUGCUGUGGCUAUUGAUGGUGGGCUGAUAACCCCCUGUUCUUCAGGAUGCAGACAAGUUGGAUUUGUAUUUGUUAUCUCAGAAGUGGAAAGAGCUGGUGGAGAAGGCUCGCUCAAGCAACUUCAGCCCCAUGGGUACAACUCAGGAACUUUCACUCUGUCCAAUUUGGGCAUGCUUGGAGUGGACAGAUUCGAUGCUAUUCUUCCUCCGGGCCAGGGUGCUAUCAGGGCUGUUGGAGCUUCAAAACCCACUGUUGUAGCUGAUGCAGACGGAUUCUUCAGUGUAUAAAGUAAAAUGCUGGUUGAUAGUAGCUUCCAGGUAUUCGACACGUUUAAUUUUGAUAAGAAGAUAGAUGGGGGACUGGAACCAAUCAACUUAGUGGUUGAAAAUGAAAUCCAUCGUGCAGUUCGUGGUGGAGCUGGUAAGUGUUAGUGCCGUAGGAAAUUAUGCUCCGGUAAACUCCCAUUUUGGGUAGAGUAAGUUCCGAAAAGGUAACUUCUUCCUUUUUCUUCUCCUUACCUUUUUUCAAUCAAUUAAAUAACUUUGGUGAUUUACUUCUGCUGUACUAUUUAUAUUGCAUUACACUUCCGUAUUGACAUUAUUACUUAUGUUUUCCAAUUACAACAGCUCAGCUGAAAUUUCAAAGGAGCUAUCAUCUUUUGCAAAUGACGAAUCUGACUUUGUACACACAUAUGACUACCUGAUAUAAAAUAGUUGGUCGCCGCUACAAGCCUAAACCAUUUGUUGUCAAGCCUGACCAUGUUUGCUAUAUGUACAUAAACACCUUCUGUGGUUGGCAUAUCUAACUUUGAAAUCUGGCUAGCUUACCAGAUUUUUGAACAUGUGAAACAAUAUAUAAUGUAGCAAUGUAAUAUAAACAAUGUUUCUAAAUUCAGUAGCAUUGAAUCAAA